GACCCUUUCUACUAUCUACAUUGUCAUAUAUAAUAUCUAUCUUUCUGUCAAGGAAUGGACUCUUAUGAGUGUAUAUAUAGAUGUACUUCAGUGAUACUUCACUACAGCUCGUCUGCUGAAAACCUUCAAGUAUUUACAUGUACAGUUAAAAUGAGAUCUGUAUGCAUGUACAUACUUACUUGUAACACUCGUGGGCCUGGAAGUGUAGGGGGCAAACUUCUUCAGGGAUGAACUUACGAACGGACCUAAUAUAGUAAACUGGGGUAUAUACAUUUAAAGCGGGGAGUUUAUACACAUUUAUACACAAGUUUUAUACCCCACCCCGUCUUGACCUUAUUAUAACAUAUAUAAGCCUAGGUCAAACUAAAAGACUUUUAUACUUACAACAUUCAUAAAAGAAC
rnacentral:lncRNA from 1 species